rnacentral:rRNA from 1 species
CCUCACCUCCAACCUUUUUUUUUUUUGCUUUUCAAAAAGGAGGUUAAACCUCCACCUCCAACUACGGCCACUUCCAUAAUAUUGGUGUAACUCUUCCACUGAUGUGGUUCUUUCUUUAUCAUACACAGACAUGAGGUAGGUUACACGACACAUAGCAGUUCAGACUACACAACUAAACGUUACAUGUGUGGCACUAUGUGCGCACGACUCACUUGGCUGACAGAGCGUGAUCCGGUGCAUGCAGCGAGCACUCCCUGAUGACCUUGGCGGCUGCGGACGCAUAAGAUGACCAUGUUCCAACACAAAAGCUCUCAAAU